AACAAGAACAAGGUGUUGUUCUUGAAGAGCAGGAAGGAUAAUCAGCAACAACAAAACAAUAAGGAUCGUAGGUGCAAUAUUUGCAACCAGAAUUUAUUAGACGCGUCUUACUGCAGCAUCCAGUGCAAGAUUUUUGCAAUAACAAGUGAAAACAAAGAAGGGUCUGCAGUUGAUGACAAUGUGUUACAUAAUGCAAGUGAAGAACCUACCUUAACACCUUGCAGGAAUAAUCGACGAAAAGGGUUUCCGUAUAGGGCACCACUGUUUUGAACAAUGUAAUUCCUAGCAGAUGAUAAACGAGUGCUCUAUGUUAUGACUAUCUCAGACUUGAUAUCUUUAAUCGUUUAUUUGAUCCGUGUAGUUGACUCGUAGUCCUCACAUAUCGGUUUUUUGUCAUAUCAUCUUAUUUA